AACGAACGCUGGCGGCAUGCCUAACACAUGCAAGUCGAACGAGACCUUCGGGUCUAGUGGCGCACGGGUGCGUAACGCGUGGGAACCUGCCCUUAGGUUCGGAAUAACUCCCCGAAAGGGGUGCUAAUACCGGAUAAUGUCUUCGGACCAAAGAUUUAUCGCCUUUGGAUGGGCCCGCGUUGGAUUAGCUAGUUGGUAGGGUAAAAGCCUACCAAGGCGACGAUCCAUAGCUGGUCUGAGAGGAUGAUCAGCCACACUGGGACUGAGACACGGCCCAGACUCCUACGGGAGGCAGCAGUGGGGAAUAUUGGAAAAUGGGCGAAAGCCUGAACCAGCAAUGCCGCGUGAGUGAUGAAGGCCUGAGGGUUGUAAAGCUCUUUUACCCGGGAUGAUAAUGACAGUACCGGGAGAAUAAGCUCCGGCUAACUCCGUG
rnacentral:rRNA from 1 species